rnacentral:misc_RNA from 1 species
UCUCCGUAGGUGAACCUGCGGAGGGAUCAUUACUGAGUGAGGGCUCCGGCCCGACCUCCAACCCCAUGUGAACCGAAACCUGUUGCUUCGGGGGCGACCCUGCCGUUCGCGGCGUGGGGCCCCCGGAGCCCAUCAAACCCUGCGUAACUAAGUCGUCGGAGUUUAAACAAAUUAAACAAAACUUUCAACAAUGGAUCUCUUGGUUCUGGCAUCGAUGAAGAACGCCAGC